UAGGAAGUGGUGUAGUGGAAGCACUGAGGGUCUUGGUCUCUCUGGGGUGGGUUCAAGUCCCUCCUUCCUAA
rnacentral:tRNA from 1 species